rnacentral:rRNA from 1 species
UAACAAUGAUUCCCUCAGUAACGGCGAGUGAACAGGGAAAAGCUCAAAGUUGGAACCUCCUAGCCCUAGGUUAGGCGGAUUGUAAACUAAAGCUCUUGGGUAGUACGGUUGGCCUGGUAAAAAAGUUUUCUGGAAAGAAGCGACAUAGAGGGUGAUAUCCCCGUCUUUGGCCAGAGCUCAAUCAUGCGUUUGCCCUUUAGCGAAGAGUCAGGUUGUUUGGGAAUGCAGCCUAAAAUGGGAGGUAAAUCUCUCCUAAAGCUAAAUAUUGACGAAAGACCGAUAGCGAACAAGUACCGUGAGGGAAAGAUGAAAAGCACUUUGAAAAGAGGGUCAAAAAGUACGUGAAAUUGCUGAAAGGGAACCGUAUGAAAUCAGUCUGAUGUGUUGGUAAUCAAUCUAGAUCUCGAUCUGGAUGCACUUGCCAAUGUAUUAGCCUGCGACAAUUUGAUUUGGAGGAAAAAAGAUGGGAGAAUGUGGCCUUGGUUUUCAAUCAAGGUGUUAUAGCUCCUGUCAAAAUACUUUGGAUUGGAUUGAGGAUCGCAGCGAGCCGCAAGGUAAGGGUCUCGGGCGCUUGGUUUGUUCAAAAAAGGAAUCUCUGCUUCGGGUGGUGUCUUUUUUGAACGAGCCAACUCGUUUGUUUCUCCUUUUUCUCGCUUAGGUCGUAGGCAUAAUGAUUUUAUAUGACCCGUCUUGAAACACGGACCAA